rnacentral:rRNA from 1 species
UGAGGAAUAUUGGACAAUGGGCGAAAGCCUGAUCCAGCCAUGCCGCGUGAGUGAUGAAGGCCUUCGGGUUGUAAAGCUCUUUUAACGGUGAAGAUAAUGACGGUAGCCGUAGAAAAAGCCCCGGCUAAAUUCGUGCCAGCAGCCGCGGUAAUACGAAUGGGGCAAGCGUUGUUCGGAAUCACUGGGCUUAAAGCGUAUGCAGGCGGCCGCGCAAGUCAGAAGUGAAAUCCCUGGGCUUAACCCAGGAAUUGCUUUUGAAACUGCACGGCUAGAAUCCCGGAGAGGUUAACAGAAUUCCGAGUGUAGAGGUGAAAUUCGCAGAUAUUCGGAGGAAUACCAGUGGCGCAAGCGGUUAACUGGACGGGCAUUGACGCUCAGAUACGAAAGCAUGGGGAGCAAA